rnacentral:rRNA from 1 species
CCUACGGGAGACAGCAGUAGGGAAUCUUUCACAAUGGGCGAAAGCCUGAUGGAGCAACGCCGCGUGCAGGAUGAAGGCCUUCGGGUUGUAAACUGCUUUUAUAAGCGAGAAAUAUGAUGGUAACUUAUGAAUAAGGAUCGGCUAACCACGUGCCAGCAGCCGCGGUCAUACGUAGGAUCCGAGCAUUAUCCGGAGUGACUGGGUGUAAAGAGUUGCGUAGGUGGCAUAAUAAGUAGCUAGUGAAAUCUGGUGGCUCAACCAUUCAGACUAUUAGCUAAACUGUUAAGCUCGAGACCGUUAGGGGUAACUGGAAUUUCUAGUGUAGGAGUGAAAUCCGUAGAUAUUAGAAGGAACACCAAUAGCGUAGGCAGGUUGCUGGGACGGUUCUGACACUAAGGCACGAAAGCGUAGGGAGCAAACGGGAUUAGAUACCCCAGUAGUC